rnacentral:rRNA from 1 species
GAUGAACGCUGGCGGCGUGCCUAAUACAUGCAAGUCGAGCGAACGGACGAGAAGCUUGCUUCUCUGAUGUUAGCGGCGGACGGGUGAGUAACACGUGGAUAACCUACCUAUAAGACUGGGAUAACUUCGGGAAACCGGAGCUAAUACCGGAUGAUAUUUUGAACCGCAUGGUUCAAAAGUGAAAGACGGUCUUGCUGUCACUUAUAGAUGGAUCCGCGCUGCAUUAGCUAGUUGGUAAGGUAACGGCUUACCAAGGCAACGAUGCAUAGCCGACCUGAGAGGGUGAUCGGCCACACUGGAACUGAGACACGGUCCAGACUCCUACGGGAGGCAGCAGUAGGGAAUGUUCCGCAAUGGGCGAAAGCCUGACGGAGCAAAGCCGCGUGAGUGAUGAAGGUCUUCGGAUCGUAAAACUCUGUUAUUAGGGAAGAACAUAUGUGUAAGUAACUGUGCACAUCUUGACGGUACCUAAUCAGAAAGCCACGGCUAACUACGUG